GGGGUUGUGGCGCAGCUGGUAGCGCGUAUGCUUUGCAUCCCGUAGCAAACAUGCAUAAGGUCCUGGGUUCAAACCCCAGCGGCUCCA
rfam:Exophiala dermatitidis NIH/TT8656 unplaced genomic scaffold supercont1.2, whole genome shotgun sequence.